AUUGAACGCUGGCGGCAGGCCUAACACAUGCAAGUCGAGCGGAUGACGGGAGCUUGCUCCUUGAUUCAGCGGCGGACGGGUGAGUAAUGCCUAGGAAUCUGCCUGGUAGUGGGGGACAACGUUUCGAAAGGAACGCUAAUACCGCAUACGUCCUACGGGAGAAAGCAGGGGACCUUCGGGCCUUGCGCUAUCAGAUGAGCCUAGGUCGGAUUAGCUAGUUGGUGGGGUAAUGGCUCACCAAGGCGACGAUCCGUAACUGGUCUGAGAGGGUGAUCAGUCACACUGGAACUGAGACACGGUCCAGACUCCUACGGGAGGCAGCAGUGGGGAAUAUUGGACAAUGGGCGAAAGCCUGAUCCAGCCAUGCCGCGUGUGUGAAGAAGGUCUUCGGAUUGUAAAGCACUUUAAGUUGGGAGGAAGGGCAGUAAGCUAAUACCUUGCUGUUUUGACGUUACCGACAGAAUAAGCACCGGCUAACUCUGUGCCAGCAGCCGCGGUAAUACAGAGGGUGCAAGCGUUAAUCGGAAUUACUGGGCGUAAAGCGCGCGUAGGUGGUUUGUUAAGUUGGAUGUGAAAGCCCCGGGCUCAACCUGGGAACUGCAUCCAAAACUGGCAAGCUAGAGUACGGUAGAGGGUGGUGGAAUUUCCUGUGUAGCGGUGAAAUGCGUAGAUAUAGGAAGGAACACCAGUGGCGAAGGCGACCACCUGGACUGAUACUGACACUGAGGUGCGAAAGCGUGGGGAGCAAA
rnacentral:rRNA from 1 species